rnacentral:lncRNA from 1 species
CCUUAGGUUAGAAGGGGAACCACUAUAAUUUCUUGUGUCCAGUUUCUCUUCUCUACUCUCUUUAUUUUUUUAUAUUUGUUUAUACCUUCAACACAAUUUUUCAGAAAAAUAAUAAGAACCCUAAACUCACGAAAAUUAUCCUAAAAAUCAAAAACCUUAAUUCAUUAUUCCUAUUAGGUUACAAUCAAAUUUCAAAAUACAAAUGUGUUGGGACAUACCCCAUUCGAACACUAACACUAAACAUGAAAACUAAAUCAGCCAAGAUUUAAUACACAUAACACAAAUACAAGGAGGCAGUUCCUACCCCUUCCUUAGAUCCAAACAACCAUGACAAAUUCUUCCACAUUUGAUCUAUGGCAAAGUUUAAAAGAGGGUCCAUAGUCUUUAAAUCUAUCCGGCGAUAGAUCAUUUCUUUGACUUCUGCAAGCACAAUUCAACUAUAAAUGGUCUCGAAUUUGUCCAAAGUAUCCACAUGCCCGUAAUCAAUUUGUUUGGUGGUGAGGAUGUUGAAGUAGGUGGGUGCCACAUCUUGUUUUGCAAUCAAAAAUCUGUUCCAGCAAGUUAAGCUCUCUUGGGACAUUUCUUCAAACACCAUGAAGACAUACUUAAAACAAAAUAAAAAUAUCAAUAAAGCACAAAACAAAACAUUAAAACAGUGGAACAGAGAGACAUCAUCAAACAUGAAAUUUAGAUAGUAUCCAAGCCUUGGUGGUUUUGGUGGAGGGCGGGUGGAUGCCAACAAUGAAGGUGGGGGAGUAGCCAUGAGGGAGAGAGCUUAAAACACUGUUUUCAGAUUUGAGAUGGGGGAGACAACCGUGACAGCCAUUUGAUUGUUUUGUGGUGGUGGCUAUUAUGUUACAAAUUUAAAAGUUUAAGCACAGUUAAGCAAAUUUUAAUUUUACAAGGGCUAAAAUUAUGUGUUGUCCUUGUUAAAUUGAAAUUUGUUUAAUUAUACUUAAACUUUUAUAUUUUUAAAUGAUUUUUAGCAGCCAUGUUAAGAACAUUAUAAUAAUCUCUUUUAUAAAAAUUAGAAUUUUUUAACAUGUAAUAAAUUAAAUAUAAUUUUUUUAAAACGCCAAAAAUUCAAGAUAAAACUAACGAAAAUUUGGACCUAAAAAUAAAAUUUUGAGCUAAUUUAUUGUGGCGGAACCUUUUAUAAUAUUUUAAACAAGUAUGUAAAAAAUCAUUAAAAAAAUUAAAAUUUUAAGCAUAAUUAAACAAAUUUUAAUUUAACAGGGACUAAAAACACUAACGGAAAAUUUUGUAGGGACUAAAAAGUGUGAUUUAUUUUUAUAGGGACUAAAAACAAAACUGCAGAUAUUUAUAGGAACCAAAAACUUUAUUAACCCUUGAUGUUUUAAGGUUUAGUGUUGGACAGUUGUGUGAUGUGCAGUCUCUGUCAUAUGAAAUAGUGUGCGGUACUUUUCCCACUUUACCAUGCUUAUUCAUAUCACAAUCAUAGAUAUAUGUACACAUUUAACAUCUAAACUAGACUUCAAGAGUUAGCAUACACACAUACACUUGUUAGUUUGGUUUCUUAUUCACAAAAACUUUGUUAGUCUGGUUCCAUGUGACAAACUUGAUAAAAUCUGAAUUUCAUUUGCACUAAUUGGUUUAAUUAAAUGGUCACAACCACCGUAAUUAAUUCAUACAAAAAUGUUAGUUAAAAAUUAAUGAUGACUCUUAUAUACUCCCUCCGAUUUUAAAUAUAAGCAAAACUCACAUUUUAGAUUCAUUUAUUUAAUGAUGUAUGUGGUUCAUAAUAUGGACCACAUACAUCAUUAAAUGAAUGAACUCAAAAAGUCAAUUUUUCUUAUAUUUAGAAACGGAGGGAGUAAAUAUGUAUGUAUUACAAUUACAUUGAAUCUAAUGUUUUAUUUUUGUCAAUUAUCCUCAUGCACAUUCAUGGUUUUGAGUGAGAAGGAAGAUCAUGGUGAUGUACAAUUCUCUUCAAGGUUUAAAAGUUUAGCACCAACAAGUUGGAUAGGUUGAUUAUUGUACAUAGUCAAUUUAAUUGUUUAUGGAUAUUGUUUAUUAGUUAACUAGUUAGUCUAAUAUCGUUUACCAUAAAUUAAAAAAUUGUUUCUUAAACACCAUAAAUAGAGAUUUUCAAUUAAAAUGCUACAAAUAUGUCAUUCUUUGUUACAAAUGGUCACCAUUCACGGUUCUCUUUUCUCUUUGAUCUAACUACAAAGAUUCUCUAGUAAUGUGAUGAGAAAAAGACUUAUUUACUUGAAUUUCUAACUACAAGGACUGUACUUGAAAGGUCUUAUUAACCGAAUCAAACCGCACCACGAACCAAUCCAAGACGCAUUGGUUUGGUUUGGAUGACUUUUUAAAAAUCAACCGAACCAAACCAAACCGUAUGCUUUUUUAUCUCGUGGUUUGGAUGACUUUUAUAUUCAAAACCGAACCAAACCGCACUGCGAACACCCCUAUUCUAAAUGACUCAAUUACGAAUAUGUUAUAUCAUAAAUGAUUCUAUAAUGUUCUUAUAUUAAAUCAUAAUAUAUUCUAACCGAUAGUCAUAUUUUGAUUGACUCUGCUAUGUGAAUUUGUGACCCUACAAUGUUGAUUGAACUUUAAUGUGUUUUAAAAAUAUGUGAAACCAUCCUUACAUGCAUAUCCGAGUCUCAUUUUAUGAAACUUUGUAUAGUCAAAAUUGUUAAAAGUGUGUAUGCACAUGAAUUAUGAAUAAGCGAAGUGUUGUCUAAUCUCUAGCCCAUGAAUACCACUUUACAUAUUUUAGACUGAGUUUGUUUAGGAAAAGGAAGUGUCCCGUUUUUGGAUGUAUAAUCUAAGUGAAGCUUGAAAAGUUUUAAUGUAGUCUUCAUAUAUGUAGGGUCUAACAAUCCUAAGUGGCCAAAUUAAAGGGGGAAUUUCUAAGUGGCCAAAUUAGUAAUUCUCUAAUAUUAUGAGCUAAUGACACCCUUUUGUGCUUUGAUGCGUCACUUAUAUGGAUUCUAUUUGCGUCAAGCAAGUUUACGAGGACUUUAAUAUGUGUAUCUCCUGAGUGACCAUUUACCACGUUCCUUGACGUGCGUUUAGGGUUAUAAAAGACUUUAUGAUAUUUUAAUGUUCGAUUCAAGAUUUAAGAUCAUGCCACAUAUUAAUUCUCUUGCUACCAAGUAUUUACAUUUUGUUGAGAAAUUGCAUAUCCUCACUCUUAUUUUUGCAAGGACAAUAAUCAAUUGUUUGCUAAAAAAAAUUCUUAAAUUAUAGUUAAGAAUUGUUCGAGUGACUUGAUUUAUAUCAGUUUAUAUUUGGUUUAUUAUAAUUAAAUCAAUUUUAAGAAAAAAAAUGUGGCUUGCUAUUAAUAAUUAAUUCAUAUAUGUGGGCAAAUUUAAAUUUAAAUUUAAAUUGUUUAUGAUAUUUGUACACCCUUAUAAUUUCUUAACACCAAUUUAACACCUCACAAUCUCUCUAUCUUUCUCUUCCUAUCACGUCACCAAGAUAUCACAUUACUAUCUUUAUUUAUAUCACUUUCAUGGUGUAUAAAGUGUGUAUGAAUGAUUAAGAUCCUCUAAUUUCACUUCUCUAGCUUUGAUUUAGAGAUAUGUGAAGAAUAUUUCCUUCCUGGACUUGGCUAGCCUUUAAUGAUAACAAACUCACGUUACAAAAGAAGAAAAACUACGAAGGCAUAAGAUGAAUAUGAAAACUUUUAGAUUAUAUAAUGAUAAUUAUUGUAAGUAUGAUCUUUAUCUUUGAAUUAUUACUUUCAACAUCUCUAUAACUUAGAAUGCUCAAGAAAUCUUUUCGAACUUAUCACAGGUCAUUUUUAUACGUUCUCAUAUGAAGAAAUGCCUAAAAACUUCUUGAAAAUCAUUUUUAAGCAUGUGUAACCGGUUACACAUUAUGGUAACCGGUUACCAGUGUUACAAGUUUCAAUUUUUUUAAAACGUUAUAGUGUAACCAACUACCACUUUCAAAAUUUUAAAUUUUAUGAAAUGGAUGCCAUUUCAAAUUUGUGCAUUUUCAUUUUAAACCAUUUAUAAAAGGUAGCAUUGCUUCAUGGACAUUUUCUAAAGCCUCUAUAAAUAUAUUUCAGUUCAAUACAACAUUAAACAACUUUCAUAUUCAAAUAUUUAAAGAUCAAAUAUCAUUUUCUUUCAAAAACUUUCAAACUUCCAUUUUGUGAAACCUUGAUUAUAUUUUCAUAUCCAAAAGGGUUUAUGAGCAUUAACAUAUAUUUAUUUGAAAGUUAUAUUGAUAUGAUACAACCAUACAAUUCUUCGAUACUUCUUUGUAAAAAAUUUAUCAUUGGUUUGGUGAGAAUUAUUGUUAAAGAUAGUGGGGUGCUUGCUAUCUUGUUUGUUUGUGAGAAUAUUAUCACAAGGUUCGAUGAAGAUUCUUGUUGUAAAGAUAAUGGAGUGUUAUCUUGUGUUGUAUAGAAAUAUUGUUUGGUGGCCUUGGGGGUAAGGUUGCUUGUAACAAAGUAAUUCUUUUUACUGUUUUUAAGGAUAGUACAAAGAUUCUAUUAUUGUAAAAAUCCUUCACGGAAUGUGGAGGGAGUAGAUGUACCCUUAGGUUAGAAGGGGAACCACUAUAAUUUCUUGUGUCCAGUUUCUCUUCCCUACUCUCUUUAUUUUUCCAUAUUUGUUUAUACCUUCAACACAAUUUUUCA